CGGGUGAGUAACACGUAAGAAUUUACCUUUAGGAGGGGGACAACAAUUGGAAACGAUUGCUAAUACCCCAUAUGCUUUCGAGUGAAACGGAUUUAUCCGCCUAUUGAGAAGCUUGCGGCUGAUUAGCUUGUUGGUAAGGUAAUGGCUUACCAAGGCGACGAUCAGUAUCUGGUUUGAGAGGAUGAUCAGCCACACUGGAACUGAGACACGGUCCAGACUCCUACGGGAGGCAGCAGUGGGGAAUAUUGGACAAUGGGCGCAAGCCUGAUCCAGCCAUACCGCGUGAGUGAAGAAGGCCCUCGGGUUGUAAAGCUCUUUUGUUGGGAAAGAAAUCCUGCCGGUUAAUACCUGGCAGGGAUGACGGUACCCAAAGAAUAAGCACCGGCUAACUUCGUGCCAGCAGCCGCGGUAAUACGAAGGGUGCAAGCGUUACUCGGAAUUACUGGGCGUAAAGCGUGCGUAGGUGGUUGUUUAAGUCUGUCGUGAAAGCCCUGGGCUCAACCUGGGAAUUGCGAUGGAUACUGGGCAACUAGAGUGUGGUAGAGGGUGGCGGAAUUCCCGGUGUAGCAGUGAAAUGCGUAGAGAUCGGGAGGAACAUCCGUGGCGAAGGCGGCCACCUGGGCCAACACUGACACUGAGGCACGAAAGCGUGGGGAGCAAACAGGAUUAGAUACCCU
rnacentral:rRNA from 1 species